rnacentral:tRNA from 1 species
AGUCCCGUGGUGUAUAGCAUGUCGGAUUGCAAAUCUGAAGAGGUAGGCUAAUUCCCUGCCGGGACUU